UGGGGAAUAUUGCACAAUGGGCGCAAGCCUGAUGCAGCCAUGCCGCGUGUGUGAAGAAGGCCUUCGGGUUGUAAAGCACUUUCAGCGAGGAGGAAGGGUGGUGUGUUAAUAGCGCAUCACAUUGACGUUACUCGCAGAAGAAGCACCGGCUAACUCCGUGACAGAAGCCGCGGUAAUACGGAGGGUGAAAGCGUUAAUCGGAAUUACUGGGCGUAAAGCGCACGCAGGCGGUUUGUUAAGUCAGAUGUGAAAUCCCCGCGCUUAACGUGGGAACUGCAUUUGAAACUGGCAAGCUAGAGUCUUGUAGAGGGGGGUAGAAUUCCAGGUGUAGCGGUGAAAUGCGUAGAGAUCUGGAGGAAUACCGGUGGCGAAGGCGGCCCCCUGGACAAAGACUGACGCUCAGGUGCGAAAGCGUGGGGAGCAAACA
rnacentral:rRNA from 1 species